rnacentral:lncRNA from 1 species
CCGAACCCCAUGAUAAAUAUUUUCAAGAAGUGGAACCCGAGAUUCGAACCCGGAUCCCCAGAGUGGAGAGCCGAAGCGUUUCCAAUCUAUCUACUAAACCGUUCGUAUUACGCAGGCUUACUAAAUUUGUUUUGAAUUUUUCCACGCGGAUUUCCUGAUCAAAAAUUGAUUCUGUUAAAAUUUAAUUCAUUCCUGACAGCUGUUAAAAGUAUUGGAUGGCCGGUAUGUCUUUAUCAGUGACAGCAAUAAAUAUAGAGAACGUCGAAGACAAAACUGGGAUCGUGAUUAAAACAGCUCCCACGCUCGCUCGACCGGAUUUCCCAGAAUGGAGAGCCAAAGCAUCUUCCGGGAUCGUACAAAAUUGCUUGGCGUCCCGGCUGUGGCCCCUUGGCCGUCAUUUUGAGACCACUGGUCUAAGGAAUUAUAAUAAUUUCUGGCAUUUUUAUCAU